CCGUGCUCGGAAAGCCCGACUUGCUGAGCCCCAGCUGCGGGAAGAAAAUGACCUGGGCUUGUUUGGCUACUGGCAGACAGAGGAGUAUCAGCCCCCCGUGGCCGUGGACGGGAAGGUGCCCCGGAACGAGUUUGGGAAUGUGUACCUUUUCCUGCCCAGCAUGAUGCCUAUUGGCUGUGUCCAGCUGAACCUGCCCAAUCUACACCGCGUGGCCCGCAAGCUGGACAUCGACUGUGUCCAGGCCAUCACUGGCUUUGAUUUCCAUGGCGGCUACUCCCAUCCUGUGACUGAUGGAUACAUCGUCUGCGAGGAAUUCAAAGACGUGCUCCUGACUGCCUGGGAAAAUGAGCAGGCCAUCAUCGAAAAGAAGGAGAAGGAGGUAAGCGCAUAGGCAGGACGGAGGGACAGCAGAAGCGGGAAGCAGCACUCAGCGGGUGGCCUCUUCCCUUCCCAGGCCGCGUCUGUGUGCUCCCAGGCUCUUCCCAGCCCUCUCUGACAUCAUGGCAGGCACCCGAGGGAGCGAGCACUGAAUGCAGCAGGCUCCUGCCCACCCUGCAGACUCACUGUUACUGUCCCUGAGGAGCCUGGGUCCGGGCUCUGGGGUCUACUGCCCCUGCUGCCCACACCUGCCUCUGUCUUGAAUCGCCUGUGUCCAGAUUCUGGAAGACCUCACCCACUAAAGAUUUUGGAGUCAGUAACGAUUAAAAAGUUGUCUGUUUUUGUGGCUUUCAGGUAUAGUAUAUCACUUUGUAAAUCAGAUGAAUUUUUUGGAAGUAAGACUUGGUGUGAAGGAGAGGCUGUAUCUUAAAGUGGUGUAUAUAUCU
rnacentral:sRNA from 1 species